rnacentral:lncRNA from 1 species
CUCAGAAAACAGGCAGAUUUGGUUAAAAAGAGGGCGAGAAGCGGAAGAAAAACGUCGUUUUUUUAUUAUUCUGGGAAAAAAAAAACGCAAAACCCCCCCAUUUUUGUUCCUCCACCCCCCCUUUUUAAAAAAUGAACGUUUUUCUUCCGCAAAAAGAGGCAGAAAAGGUGAAACUUGCCUGGUGAAGCCGCAAAGAGAGAGACAGGCUGGGAGGAGGAAACAAGGGGAUCUGCAAGAAAAUACACACGGUGAGAAACCCCAAAAACGCCCCAAAUUUAACUGCCCCCCCCCCCCAACACCGCCAGGGGGGGGGCACCCCGAGGGGGGGUCCCCAAAAAAAAUGGGGGGCACCGGGAGGGGGUGAGGGGGUGGGACGGACGCGGCUGCGGCACGGAAUGGGUUAAUACGGCGCCAAAAGUCUUUUGAUUUUUGGGGUGAAACCCGCCGGAUUUGGGGCAGGAAGACCCCCAUGGGGAGGGGGAAGACCCCCAUGGGGAGGGGGACGCCCCCCCCUGCCCCCCCACCCCAUUUUAGGGCCCUGCUUUGGGGUGCGGCGCUUCCAGAGCCUUCAUCCUCCUCCUCCUCCGUUUUGGGGUCCAGUCCCCGUUUUGGGGUUUUGCCCCCAUUUUGGGGUCCAGUCACCGUUUUGGGGUUUUGCCCCCGUUUUGGGGGUUUUGCCCCCCCUCCCCAAUCUUCCUCCUCCUCGUUUUGGGGUUUUGGGGUCUGCUCCCCACCUCCUUCCUCCUCCUCCUCUUCCUCAGGCGUUUUGGGGUCCGGUCCCCGUUUUGGGGUGCAGCACGGCCCCAAAUCCUCCUCCUCCUCUUUGGGUGCCAUUUUGGGGUCUUGUCCCCAUAUCGGGGUACAUUUACCCCAAAAUCUUCCUCCUCUUCCAUGUCCGUUUUGGGGUCCUGUUCCCAUAUUGGGGUACAGCAUUGUCCCCAAAUUCCUCCUCGGGUACCGUUUUGGGAUCUGGUCCCAUAUCGGGGUUCACCACUGACCCCAAAUCCUCCUCCUCCUCUUCGGGUACCAUUUUGGGGUCCUGGUCCCAUAUUGGGGUACAGCAUUGGCCCCAAAUUCUUCCUCCUCGGUGUCCAUUUUGGGGUCUCGUCCCCAUAUUGGGGUUCAGCAUUUACCCCAAAUUCUUCCUCCUCCUCCUCCAGUGCCAUUUUGGGAUCUGGUCCCAUUUUGGGGUCCAGCGCCAGCCCCAAAUCCUCCUCCUCCUCUUCGGGUACCAUUUUGGGGUCCUGUUCCCAUUUUGGGGUGCAGCAUCAUCCCCCAAUUCUUUCUCCUCCUCCUCUGUGUCCCUUUUGGGGUCCUGUCCCCAUAUCGGGGUUCAGCGCCGCCCCCAAAUCCUCUCCGCAGCCCCCCAGCAGAAACAACCUAAUUUUGCCCCAAAACCCCAUUUUUUUUUUACAGGUUUCCCCCUUUUUUGGGGUGACCCCGAGCAGGGUUGUGUCAAACCCAGCUGGGUGAUGCCGCCAGGGGAAUUUUUUAGGGGAAAAGAGUGGGAUUUUGGGUACUGUGAGGGGCUGGGGGGGGGUGAGCCCCCCCACGAGGGAUCUGCAGGGAGAAUUGGGGCAAAAAGGAGCGAUU